CAUGUCACUACUGUCAAUGCAUUGUCAGUGUCAGUGACAGUGACUGUGACAGAUGAUCUUGAUCAUAAAUGGAAGGCAUGACAGUAUAAUUUUUUCAAUUUGUUAGUUCCUAAUUAUGGCAAAUAAAACAAAAAACGAAUUCAUUGCUUAUAGUGAACCAAAUAUUCGAAACAAUUUAUCUAUUGUGGAGUAUUGUCGUACAUCUGUAGCAGCUAUAUCCGGUUGUACAGCAGGUGUACUGGGACUAACAGGAUUAUACGGAGCAGUAUUCUUUGUUGUAGCUGUAACUGCAUUUUGGUUUAUGCUAUUGUUUAAAGCUGGUAUCGAUUCCUGGAAGAAAUAUUUUAUAUCUCGAAACUCCCUACUAUUGAAUGGGAUUUUUGGACAUUUCUUCACAUACAUUCUGUGCUGGACUUUCAUUUAUGGAAUGGUGCAUGUUUAUUAAAUUAAUUUACAAAAUAAGUGUUCUAGAGUUAGUACUACAAUUAUCGUGGGGAAGGUUAGGGUAAGAUGGCAGAUGAAAGAAAUUUUCGCUCGGCUUACUACGAGAAAGUAGGAUUUAGGAGUGUAGAAGAAAAAAAAUCACUGGAAAUUUUGUUGAAGGAGAAACCUCUGGAUCGUGGAAAACUGAGGCAGUUCUGUGUAAGAUUUUCUGUGCCAGCUACUUAUAGAAAUCUAGUAUGGAAACUGCUUCUAGGUGUUAUUCCAGUCCAUAUAGACAGCCACAACUUCAUAAUGGACCAAAGAAAACAA
rnacentral:misc_RNA from 1 species